UUGGAGGGCAAGUCUGGUGCCAGCAGCCGCGGUAAUUCCAGCUCCAAUAGCGUAUAUUAAAGUUGUUGCAGUUAAAAAGCUCGUAGUUGAAUUUCGGGGUCAGUAGGUUGGUCAUGCCACUGGUAUGUACUGGUCUCACUGAUUCCUCCUUCCUGAUGACUGUAAUGCCAUUAAUUUGGUGUUGCAGGGAAUCUGGACUGUUACUUUGAAAAAUUGAGUGUUUAAAGCAGGCUAACGCCUGAAUACAUUAGCAUGGAAUAAUGAAAUGGACGUUCGAUCCUAUUUUGUGGUUUCUAGGAUUGACGUAAUGAUUAAUAGGGAUAGUUGGGGGCAUUAGUAUUCAAUUGUCAGAGUGAAAUUCUGGAUUUAUGGAGAUAACU
rnacentral:rRNA from 1 species